UAGGGAAUCUUCCGCAAUGGGCGAAAGCCUGACGGAGCAACGCCGCGUGAGUGAUGAAGGUCUUCGGAUCGUAAAACUCUGUUAUUAGGGAAGAACAAAUGUGUAAGUAACUAUGCACGUCUUGACGGUACCUAAUCAGAAAGCCACGGCUAACUACGUGCCAGCAGCCGCGGUAAUACGUAGGUGGCAAGCGUUAUCCGGAAUUAUUGGGCGUAAAGCGCGCGUAGGCGGUUUUUUAAGUCUGAUGUGAAAGCCCACGGCUCAACCGUGGAGGGGCAUUGGAAACUGGAAAACUGGGGUGCAGAAGAGGAAAGUGGAAUUCCAUGUGUAGCGGUGAAAGGCGCAGAGAUAUGGAGGAACACCAGUGGCGAAGGAGACUUUCUGGUCUGUAACUGACGCUGAUGUGCGAAAGCGUGGGGAUCAAACAGG
rnacentral:rRNA from 1 species